ACCGGAAUCCCAGAGAGAAGUAUAUAAGGUGGGCUCCGCUGGUGAAGUCCCAAUAGAAGGUUGUGCUUUGGAGAGUGGAAAAGCACUUGCCCACUCGUGUUUCUUCUCUUUCUUUCUUUUUCCUGAAUCUCUUAAAUAUCAAUCUUUAGUGCAAACAAAUGGAAUCCCAUGAAUUUGAACAUCGCCCGUAAUAUCUUUAAACUUAAUAAUUUUUUAGAUAACAAUCCCUAGAGUCACGUGCAAUUACUGAUGUUUCCUCUUCUGGCUGUUGCAGCGAAAGUGAGUUAUUCGUUUGCAUCGAUCCUACUUCAGGCUUCUUUCUCAAAAAAAAAAAAAAAUUCUCAAAGUACAAAGUCCGUCUGGAUUAUUGGUUACAGUAAGUGGUUGUUAAGAUGGAGCUUACUAGUGUAUAUUGUUUUGUACUUGAAGUGUUGUAAUUAAAUUAUAUAAUAUAAAUAGGU